rnacentral:tRNA from 2 species
GCUGGUGUGGCUCAAUGGUAGAGCAGCGGUAUCGUAAACCGCAGGUUGGGGGUUCGAUUCCCUUCACCAGCUCCA